UACGGAGGGAGCUAGCGUUGUUCGGAAUUAUUGGGCGUAAAGCGCGUGUAGGCGGUCCAACAAGUCUGGCGUGAAAGCCUUGAGCUCAACUCAAGAAGUGCGCUGGAAACUGUCGGACUUGAGUACUGGAGGGGGAGGUGGAAUUCUCGAGUGUAGAGGUGAAAUUCGUAGAUAUUCGGAAGAACAUCAGUGGCGAAGGCGACCUCCUGGACAGAUACUGACGCUGAGACGCGAAAGCGUGGGUAGCAAACAGG
rnacentral:rRNA from 1 species